ACUCGUGUUUGGAGGCCGCUGAUUUGAAGACCUGCAUGUUUCCAAGACCGUGGACACACUCUACACAAAUGACAAUGACAACGUUCAAUAUGCGUGCUCGUGUGAUUCGUGCAGAGGGCCCUCAGGAAGACUGCUCUGAUAGCGCUGACUAAUCCCAAGGUCUACAAUGGGUGGUGCCUGAUGUACAUCGAGUUCAUCUUUGUAGAAGCUGUUGGCGACACGCACAGAGGCGACGGAUGAUGAAACAAGGACUGCAAUGGCUUUAAAAUUAAAACGGGCUCCAGCGCUGAGUAGCAAAGGACGCUAUCAAAAGCCCACAAGAGAGUGAUGUUUAUAUUGUUGUGUUUCGCCGAGCUGGUUGUUUUGUUUGAUAUGUCCUACAUAAAAUAUGUAUAGAUAUUUAUAUUGUAAGUUUUGUAACAUAGUUUUGUUCUGUUAAAUAGCCCCCAUUUUUUAAUACUGUA